GAGUUUGAUCGUGGCUCAGAUUGAACGCUGGCGGCAUGCCUUACACAUGCAAGUCGAACGGCAGCAUGAUCUAGCUUGCUAGAUUGAUGGCGAGUGGCGAACGGGUGAGUAAUACAUCGGAACGUGCCCUGUAGUGGGGAUAACUAGUCGAAAGAUUAGCUAAUACCGCAUACGACCUGAGGGUGAAAGUGGGGGACCGCAAGGCCUCAUGCUAUAGGAGCGGCCGAUGUCUGAUUAGCUAGUUGGUGGGGUAAAGGCCCACCAAGGCGACGAUCAGUAGCUGGUCUGAGAGGACGAUCAGCCACACUGGGACUGAGACACGGCCCAGACUCCUACGGGAGGCAGCAGUGGGGAAUUUUGGACAAUGGGCGAAAGCCUGAUCCAGCAAUGCCGCGUGUGUG
rnacentral:rRNA from 1 species